AGAGUUUGAUCAUGGCUCAGGACGAACGCUGGCGGCGCGCUUAAUACAUGCAAGUCGAGCGAGAACCAGGGCUUCGGCCCUGGGGACAGCGGCGAACGGGUGAGUAACACGUGGGUAAUCAACCCUCGACACUGGGAUAGCCCGGGGAAACCCGGAUUAAUACCGGAUACCCCGUCCGGCCUUCGGGCCGGCCGGAAAAGGUAGCUUCGGCCUCCGGUCGGGGACGAGCCCGCGGCGGAUUAGCUUGUUGGUGUGGGUAAUGGCCCACCAAGGCGACGAUCCGUAGCUGGUCUGAGAGGACGAUCAGCCACACUGGGACUGAGACACGGCCCAGACUCCUACGGGAGGCAGCAGUAGGGAAUCUUGCGCAAUGGGCGAAAGCCUGACGCAGCGACGCCGCGUGAGGGAAGAAGGCCUUCGGGUUGUAAACCUCUUUCAGGAGGGACGAAGCCACUCGGGUUAAUAGCCCAGAGGGUGACGGUACCUCCAGAAGAAGCCCCGGCUAACUACGUGCCAGCAGCCGCGGUAAUACGUAGGGGGCAAGCGUUGUCCGGAUUUAUUGGGCGUAAAGAGCGUGUAGGCGGCCAAACAGGUCCACUGUGAAAACUCGAGGCUCAACCUCGAGAGGUCGGUGGAAACCGUAUGGCUAGAGUCCGGAAGAGGAGAGUGGAAUUCCCGGUGUAGCGGUGAAAUGCGCAGAUAUCGGGAAGAACACCCGUGGCGAAGGCGGCUCUCUGGGACGGUACUGACGCUGAGACGCGAAAGCGUGGGGAGCGAACAGGAUUAGAUACCCUAGUAGUCC
rnacentral:rRNA from 1 species